rnacentral:misc_RNA from 1 species
GAUGAAGAACGUAGCGAAAUGCGAUAAGUAGUGUGAAUUGCAGAAUUCAGUGAAUCAUCGAAUCUUUGAACGCACAUUGCGCCCUUUGGUAUUCCAAAGGGCAUGCCUGUUCGAGCGUCAUUUGUACCCUCAAGCUUUGCUUGGUGUUGGGCGUCUUGUCUCUAGCUUUGCUGGAGACUCGCCUUAAAGUAAUUGGCAGCCGGCCUACUGGUUUCGGAGCGCAGCACAAGUCGCACUCUCUAUCAGCAAAGGUCUAGCAUCCAUUAAGCCUUUUUUUCAACUUUUGACCUCGGUUCAGGUAGGGAUACCCGCUGAACUUAAGCAUAUCAAUAAGCGGAGGA